AUUCCUUUCUCUCUUUCCCAGCCAUGGCCUCUCAGCCACCAGUCACCUCUUCCCCCAACCCCCUGACCUCCCACUUCUCUUCUCAAUUCAACUGCUCUUCAGGAUUUCUGGUUGCACUACCUCUGGAGACAAGACUCUAGCAUUUGUUCUUUAUAGUAAUGUCAUUGGAUUGAGGAUACUUGUUUGCAGAGGAGGCAAGAAUGCGUUGUUCCGUUUUUGAAUUCCACACAUCUAAUAUGGAGCCUGAGCCACAGGGCUCAAAAUGUUAAGUAAACAAAUGAAUGGGAAAUUAAUAAGAAGAAUGCAUUGGCAAGACCGUGAAGGCCUGCCAUGGGAAGCUUUGGGAAGAAGCCAGCUGCCAUGUUGUGAGAACUCUCAAGCAGCUGUGUGGAGAGAUCCAUGUGGUGAGGAACUGAAGCCUCCUACCCACCAUCAAGUCAGUGGCUCACUACUGUUGCAGUGAAUUCUCCAGCCCAUGAAGACUUUAGAUGAUUUACCCAACAUCUUGAUUAUAGCCUCAUGGAUUCCCUGAGCCAGAACAACCCAGCUAAGCCUCUCCUGAAUUCCUUACCUACAGAAACUGUGAGAUAAUAAAUAUUUAUUCUUUUAAGCCAUCAAAUUUUGGGUAAUUUAUUAUGCAGUAAUAUGUAACUAAUAUAGAUAAAAAUAUUCAGUUUGAAGGAAAGAAGAAAAAUAACUUACAAUAAACUCAAGAAAUAAAAUAAAAUUAAAACAAAGGUUAAUUCAAAAA
rnacentral:lncRNA from 1 species